GGUGCGAUUAGUUCAGUUGGUAGAGCACCAGAUUGUGGUUCUGGGUGUCGUGGGUUCGAGCCCCACAUCGCACCCCCA
rnacentral:tRNA from 1 species